GCAAAUAUGGAGAGAAAGCCUAAGGGAAAUGUAGGGACUCCCCCAGGACUGUGGCCACAAGUUCCUCACUCCUCCACCAGCUAAGGGUCUGCCUCCAGCUUCAUCAAAGUUAGCCUUGAAGUUUUACCUCCAGACUGUGCACCAGUAACUUCUACUCCAAAGACUGUUGGCUAUCUUCAUCUCCGAGUCCAAAAAAAAAACCACCACCACCACCACCACCAACAACAACAACAACAGAGAGCAAGGUAGAUGGAGAAUGUGAGUGUGUGGAUGCCCUUCCUCUCCCCCACAUCAUUUCUGAUUGAGGAAAUGAGGCCUGAACUGGGAUUAAUUAGGAGCAGCUUUGAAGUGGGAUGAGAUUGAAGUUUUCAUUAAAUGUGAAAAGAUUUUUAUAAUGACAAUAACAAUGUUUUAGUUGAACUCCUUAUAUUUCUUCUAGUGACUUUUGGAGUUUUAAAGGAUAUUGGGUUAGUUAAAGAAACUCAAGGGAGGAAUGAAUUUCUUUACUUGGGCCAUGAUUUCUGGGGUUUCAAUCCGUGUUCAAUUGGCCCCAUGCACUUGGACAGAAUAUCACAGUGGCAGGAACCAGUGAUAAAUGAGAGCUGCCAGGGACUAAAGACAAAAGCAAACAAACAAAACAAAACUCCAAUACCCCAAACCAACUUCCUCCAGUUAGGCACUGAUUACUAAAGUUUCCAGAUCCUGAGAACACUCCAUACUGUAACUAUAACAGCUAUGCCUGACUGUUUAAAAUGUAAUGGUUUCAGAGGCACUCUAGAGUAAAUGAUCUUCGUUUUAAUUUCAUUAUUGAGCUACCCAUUGUUAAAACUGCCUGCUUUGUAAUUUUUUUGAUUUCUAGUGAAGGGACCAGCUCCCCGUUUUGGCAGCCAUAACAGCCUAACAUGUGCUUACCUGACCUUGCCUUGGUCAUGAGGAGGUCAGAUGCCCACCUGGUGGCAAGGAACCAAUCAGAAGUUAACUGGCAGGGCUGUGCUUUACGGCUCUGGGUGUGCUUUACCAACAAGUGCACAGCAAUAACAUGCAAGGCAUAGCAACUCCCUGGGAGGGCCUAUGGGCCAUAACAACCAGUUGACCAAUCAACACAGGGCAAGUCGUCCAAGCCUGGAGGCGCACCAAUCCUGAGCCUGUGUGUACUCUUAGACACUCCCCUUAUGCUAUAAGAUUUUUGUCCGGUAGGUCUUUCCCCAGCCAUCCUUGUAGUGGUGGGUGGAUGAAAGGCCGGAGCUAAUGGGGUUAGCUCAUUAAACAACUGCAAUAAAAGACUCAUUGCUUUUGCAUCAAAAUGGGCCUCUUGGUGAUUUGGGGGUUCAGAAUUUGGGCACAAGUUGUGCUGCAUUCA
rnacentral:lncRNA from 1 species